AUGUUGCCAUCAGACAGGGGCUACCCUCACAGUGCAGACUACUUUUUGAGAAGGGAAUUUUCACUGUGUAGGCUCGAAUUUGGCUCUGGCACAACACUUUAUGUGACAGACGGCAAUCCUCGAAAACCCAAAGUGACGGUGUACCCAGCGUCCAACUCUGAGUCGAAUGGGAAGACCACCCUGCUAUGUCUGGCUAGAGACAUGUUUCCAGACUUGGUCAAGAUCUCAUGGAAGAUUGAGGAUGCAAACGGUGGAAGAACGGAGGUGCCCAACGCAGAGGGGGAACAGCUGGAAAAGAGGGAGGAAGGACAGACGACCAGUAUGAUCAUCGUUGAUAAAGAGAAUACGUACAGGAACAAAUACAUCUGUUCUGUGGAGCAUGAAUGGGGCGCUCAACAAUUUGACAUCCCAAAAGAUACUCCAACCACCAUGUCUUCACCAACCUGCCCGUUCAGAAAUGACAUGCUGGAGCAUGUCGAAGGUAAUAUUAUUGUAUAUUUCAUGCAGGAUUCCUUCCAGUCAACGUGCAGUCUGAACCUGGCCUCUGUGGUUUACACAGUGAUGAUAGUGAAGAGCAUGGUGUACUGCUGUGGGCUCUCUCUCCUGCUGCACAACAGGAACCUGGGAAGAGGACAUAGCACCUGAAGACCUCUAUGAGGAAAAUCAUUUAUGCGCUUUUUUACAUUGAUACAAUGUUGUUGUUUUUUACAUUGAUACAGCUUGCAUGACAUUUUCCUUGCCUAACACAGCCUGCUCAAAUUAACCUAGUUGCUCAAAAUAACCAUAUUAUUUCAGAUGAGGAUGGAUUUAAUAAUCGCUGCCUUUGUGAACAAAA